CGGGGCGUAGCGCAGCCCGGUAGCGCACUUGACUGGGGGUCAAGGGGUCGUCGGUUCAAAUCCGGCCGCCCCGACCA
rnacentral:tRNA from 19 species